rnacentral:rRNA from 1 species
UACAGAGGUCCCGAGCGUUGUUCGGAUUCACUGGGCGUAAAGGGUGCGUAGGUGGUGAGGUAAGUCGGAUGUGAAAUCUCCGAGCUCAACUCGGAAAUGGCAUUGGAAACUACCUUGCUUGAGGGUUGGAGGGGGGACUGGAAUACUUGGUGUAGCAGUGAAAUGCGUAGAUAUCAAGUGGAACACCAGUGGCGAAGGCGAGUCCCUGGACAACUCCUGACACUGAGGCACGAAAAGCUAGGGGGAGCAAACAGG